rnacentral:rRNA from 1 species
AUACAGAGGGUGCAAGCGUUAUUCGGAAUUACUGGGCGUAAAGCGCGCGUAGGCGGAUGAUUAAGUCAGUUGUGAAAGCCCUGGGCUCAACCUAGGAACUGCAUCUGAUACUGGUCAUCUAGAGUUUAAGAGAGGGAAGUGGAAUUCCAGGUGUAGCAGUGAAAUGCGUAGAUAUCAGGAGGAACAUCAGUGGCGAAGGCGACUUCCUGGCUUAGAACUGACGCUGAGGUGCGAAAGCGUGGGUAGCGAACGGGAUUAGAAACCCCAGUAGUCC